CGUCUCAAAAAAAAAAAAGAAAGAAAGAAGAAGAAAUUCACCUGAAAAAUGCAAGUUCUUAAUUCUGAAAUAAAAAGCUGUUUAAAGCAUUAGUAGUUACAGAGUGGUUGGGCACAAUAUUAUUUUGAACAGGUAAAACAAUAGAACACCAUGUCUGCAGAUUUAUUUAUUCAGCUAAAAAACAGUUUUAGUUAUUGUGCCAUCACGUGAAGAAUAGGAAGCUAGACUCAGGGAGUGGAUAGGCUGCUGUGAUGUACAGAUACUCCCCUCCACUAGGGCAGGACUGAUCUGGAAGUGUGUCAACCCCCGAGAGAACAUCUGGGAAGCCUGGUUGAAAAGCUUUGGCUCAUUUAUGCAGGGUAAGAGAGAAUUUUUCAAUAGGCAAAAUGUAUGGAAAGCAGGUAUCAUUCCACUUGCUCUGUGCGUAGCUGCUGGGAUCAGGAUGGGCUGACUGCACAUGUUCCGGACAAGAUGGUGGGCAAGGUGGGUGGUGCAAAGGUCUACCAGCUCAGUGAUUCCGCCAAACCAAAGAAAAGCAGGCAAAAAUGAGUGAUAGCAGGUGCCAGAAUAUUCAGCCUGUCUCAGUCAAUGAACGAAACGUGUUUCCCAUUUUAAGCACAGCCUAAGGGAGAAGUAACAACUAGAAACCAAGGCCUGAUAGAUUCCCAGCCUGUGCACGGUGGAGCUACACGGGCACCUACCUGACUUCCUACACAUCGAGAGGAAAGCUUUCUUAUCCAUACCCCAAGUGCGCAUCUGCCCGCCUUUGAAUCAUUAAACACCACCCCUCCCUUCGCCACCCCUUUCCUCACACCAUGGAGUUCAUAACACCAAGCAUCACCUUCUCUUCUCCUGACACUGACACCAGAAGAAAAGGAAGUCUAUGUUGACGGCACAGAGAUGAAAAUUGCCUCCAUCAUUCUGAGUGUAGGAACAUGUUUUCUUCCCAGAUCGCCCCCUCUUUGGAAGAACACAAUCUCUUCUAAGCUCCCUCCUCCAGCCUAACCCCUGGCCCUGAAGCCCAGGAUCUGCUGAUCAAACACAUGAGCUCACUGCAGCUUAUAUAAGAGCUCUUGGCAGGCCUUCCCAGAGAUGGAUGCUGGGCUAGGUCUCUGCACACUUGUGCUUGCCUCGCCUAGGCAACAUGACUUUUUGUUUCUCUAUCUCCUCAGAACAGAGAGGCCUAUUUGUACUACUGUUCAUCAGUCGUUUUGUAGUAGGAAAGAGGAAGCACAAAGUUUCUUCCUAUUUCCCAGUGAUUAAAAGUGGCCCAACUUCCUAAGGGGGAAAAUAAGAAUUCCAAAGACAAAGCUCACUUGAAUGUGCUGAGCCCCCUUCACUCGGCUGUUUUCUGUGAUGGGGCCACACCGCUGUGGGUUACCACAGGGGAGCAAGGAUAGAAACAGAGUGGGAGCUGGGGGCCACGCCUGUGUGACAUUUCGGAGGACUCCAGCUCGAAGGUCCUUUCUGAGAUGUUUGUGAGCAGGGACUAGGGCAGAGGGAAAGACAAAAUAUUAGGUUGGAGCAAAAGUAAUUGCUGUUUUGCUUAUACUCUUAAUGGCAAAAACUGUAAUUACCUUUGCACCAACCUAAUCGAUGAGAAUUCCCAUCUUCCCCCAAAGGGGAAAUAAAAGGACAUUUAGGGAAAUCUGUCAGAUAGUCUCAAAGGUAGGUCAUCUGCAAGAAAUCCAUCCUGCCUCCGACUGACUUGGUGAGAAGUCCCAUCCAUUCCCAGACUCCAUUUUCUUAAAGGAGAAGAGAAACUUUUGGAAACCACACUCAGGAACUCAGAGAAACGAGGAAAGAGAAAAAGCAAGGAAAAGCCAUUCAUGAACCCAACUUUCAAAUUCAGUGGAUAUUUUGCAUGGCUCCCAAGAGGAGAAGGGACGGUUGUAUGACAGGAUUUGUUUCUCCUACUGCCACUGACGAAAGGAAAGGAAACGCAUGAGGCCCUUUGCCGUGCCCGGCUCCCUUCUGCCGCGUCAGUCACUCCAGGCCUGGGGCUCUGAGGCAGGGCCAGGGAAGGAAGACGCAGGCCUUAGCUGUGGCCAUUCUCAUUCUCUUUCCUGAGCUUCGAAGCCACAUCCUGAGGGCACUUCCUACCCACACAUCCUCGUCCAGGGAAAUGUGCUCAUCUCCCUCCACUCAGCACUGGACUUCUCUCGCAAGGCCAAUUCUGGUGCUCCCUUCAUACCAACUGGCAAUAGGGAUGUGGGCAAGUCAUAUUACGGCUCACUUUCCCUACAUGUAAAAUGGGGCUGGAUAGGGUGAUUCACACACUUACUAAUGGAUUCAUCAGUGAAUAUUUUGUUUUUAAAGAAUGUCUGUCUGGGCUGGGCAUGGUGGCUCAUGCCUGUAAUCUUAGCACUUUGGGAGGCCGAGGCGAGAGGAUCACCUGAGGUCAAGUGUUCAAGACCAGCCUGGCCAAUGUGGUGAAACCCUAUCUCUACUAAAAAUGCAAAAAUUAGGUGGGUGUGGUGACGCGCGCCUGUAGCCUGUAAUCUCAGCUACUGGGGAGGCUGAGGCAAGGAGAAUGGCGUGAACCUGGGAGGUGGAGCUUGCAGUGAGCCGAGAUUGCACCGCUGCACUCCAGCCUGGGCAACAAAGCGAGACUCCGUCUCAAGAAAAAAAAAAAAAAAAAAAAAAAAAGAAUGUCUAUCUGGGCUGGGCACAGUGGCUCACACCUGUAAUCCUAGCACUUUGGGAGGCCGAGGCGGGAGGAUUACCUGAGGUCAGGAGUUCAAGACCAGCCUGGCCAACAUAGUGAAACACCAUCUCUACUAAAAAUAAAAAAAUUAGCUGGGCGUAGUGACUCACACCUGUAAUCCCAGCUACUCAGGAGGCUGAGGCAGGAGAAUCGUCUGAGCCCAAGAGGCAGAGGUUGCAGUGAGCUGAGAUCUCGCCACUACACUCAAGCCUGGGCAACAGAAAGAGACUCUGUCUCAAAAAAAAAAAAAAAAAAAAAGAAUGUCAAUCUGUCAGGCACUGCACCCUAAUCUCUUAAUAUGUCGCAAUGCAGUUCUAUUACUUUUUCUCCAUCUUUUCCCAUCACAUUCUGCUUUUCUCAACCUCUACCCACACCCAGAGUCUGCUUCUUCAGCUUUUUUCUUUUAUUUUCAUAUUUUUCUUCACUCUCUGCACCCUCCCCCACCCCAGCAUGGUUCUAUUUUUAGAAUGUUCAUACAUAAAAUCAGAGGAUUAGAAAAGGGUUUUAAGGGGCCAUCUGCCCACUUUGUUACCUCCAGGCAAACCUGUGCUUAAAAGGCCCAGGAAAGAUCAGAGGGCAUACUCCAAGCCCAAUUUCAGGAUGCACUCCAGCAUCUCACAACUUCUUCCAUUAAAAAAUGGCCUCAACGUCUAACUUAAACCCCUCUGUUCAAUACUACUCUCCUUUUUCUCUUUACCUCUUGAGUCACAUCACAGACAUAAAGCACCUUUGUGAGAGAGAACUGUGGGGAAGUUUAACCCAUAGUGACAUAGUGGAACAUCCCAGGCCAUAACAACCACAGUUUCAAUGUAAAACCAGAUCCAGGAACACAGAAUGGACUAGAGGCUAUGGCAGUUAGCUGGAUUGGGCUUCUGUAAAAUUAACAAAGACAGAACAAAUAGCAAAAAACCAACAAGCACGACCCUACUGGACUCACAGUUUCUAACAAACUAUCUCAAUUAACAUGAACAGUCCACGAGCAAGGAGUUCUAAAAUCAUAGCCCCCUUAGGUUGGAAAGGCCCUUCCUUAGAUGUUAUCAAGUCCAACCUUUUAUGCAGAGUUGGCAGCCAGCAUAGCACAAAGUCUGUCUCUGCUGAUUACAGCUGAAUAACAGAUGGCGGUCAUUCAGUACUGGUUCUUCCAUCAGCAUAUAAAAAAUUCCUUCAAAGCAACUCUCCCAGGACCCUGGAUAGGAGGCAAGGCAGGUGUUCACCUGGACAGGGCCUGAUGCCCUUUUUGGUCUGUGCUAACCUGCUGAGGUAGUCUACGGUCUUAAUAGAGACAGUGUGGUCUAGUGUGUGGGUCGCUUGACAAGGAGGCAGAUUUCAAAACGUGCCACAUUUUCUUUCUGCCUUCUUCAGAUGGCAAGAGGCAGACAACUCAACUAAAGAGAAGAGGAUUUACAGCAAGUUGCUGACCCAGCUUACAGCACAGCUGUCCUCUUCCAUAGAAUGGGAAGAAGUUUUAUGCCUUUAUGCUUCUCUGUACCAUCAACCUCAAAGUUCGGUGGGUAUCUCAGAGAAAGUGUUAUUAUUAGCAAACAGUCAUAAUUCCAAGAAACCACUUGCUAAGGGGUUCCUGAUGGAUGAUUUUCUCUCUCUGUAGAAAACAAGUAAGAACCUUCUAUCUUGGGGAAGUCUGGCAAAUGCUCCAUAGAGGCUGCUGUGGAAGGGAAUCAUUCCACAUCCCAUGUUAGGAUAAGGCCCGAAACCCUGCCUGGGAAAACAAGAGCAGCACACGGAGUGGGCUUCAGUCCUGUCUCAUUUACAGGGUCUUGAACACGCCCUAUAGGCUUCUGGGACCUGUUUUUCUGUAUCUGUCAAACAAGGGGGUGCUCUAACGACCUUCCUGCUGUAGCGAUCUUGCUUCACUUUGGGUAAAUGCCACAGCCAUAGGAGAGGAGGUAGGGUCUUUGUCCUCAUGGGUCUCCCACCAGGCCCAAGGUUUCUCCAAGCCCUGCUGACCCAGGAGGGCCACUCCUAGCCCCUCUGCCAAGAAUCUACUUUCCUUCCCUCAUUGACUGAUCAUGCUCAGAAAUCAGCUAAUUUGGGGGUGGGGGGCAUCCAACAUGAAAGAAACACUACAAAGAAACUCUUAGGUAAGCUCUCUACCUCUACACACACCCAUACACAUACACUGACACAGACACAUACAGGAACCCUGAAAUAUAAGUAUUUUCCCUUCCAUGUAUCAAACCUCUUUUGCCCUCUUGAAUUGCCAGUGUGCUGGGAGAGAAUUCAGUCCCACAGUGGAGAAGCACUGCUUCCACUUACGGAACUCAGCUAAACCUCAGUGUUUAGGGAUGACCCUGGGCACAGGUUGAAGCUAAAGGUCCUAACACACCUCCAUUGCAGUGCAGAAAUGCAGACUUUACCAGCCAUGAUUGGGGCAGUAGCUAACUAAAAGCACAGGACCAGGAUCCAGAUCCUUCCUUUCUUGCUCUUCCACUUCCACUGCCUCCCCCACCCUAGAUGUGUUAUUCUGUAACAGUGGUCGCCUGCUCGAGACUGCUCAUCUGCCUGCAUAGAGUGCCGUGGACUUGCUCUGUAAUGCACUGUAUAUGUGUAUGUCCUGACUCUGUGGUUUACUGCAAAUAAAAAUGACAGCAGGUGGCUGACCUCUGACCUCCUGGUCAUUUCAUGCCAUUGCUUGUGAAAUCAGGAUUGGCCAUUCAUGCUCUGGGGAUGUACGUGCUCCUCCAGACACUUCUGUGACCAUUCCACAGGUGCACGCUGCUAGAGAGGCACCACUGAUGUGUCAGGUUUAGGAGGGGUUGAAAUUCUCUGUUGCCAAUUUCCUGGUGUUGAAGGAGGGGGAGAGAGAGCCAAAAGCCCUAUUUAAUAAGCUCCAGAGAGUUGAACAAUGAGAACACGUGGACACAGGGAGGGGAAUAUCACACAUUGGGGCCUGUUGAGUGGUGGGGGGCAAGGAGAGGGAGAGCAUUAGGAAAAAUACCCCUGCCUGUGGGGCUUAAAACCUAGAUGACGGGUUGAUAGGUGCAGCUAACCAUCAUGACACAUGUAUACCUAUGUAACAAACCCGCACAUUCUGCACAUGUAUCCCAGAACUUAAAGUAAAAUAAAAUUUUUUAAAAGCCCCAGCUAAACACUUUAUAUACAUCUUCACACCGACGUCUCCCCUGAGACGUGGUCAGCAUUUUAUAGAUAAUGAAACAGGAGGCUCAAAAAUGGUGAUUAACUUGCUCAACACAUAACACAAUAAGUAACCCAGUUCUGUCUCUCUCAGACCCCAAAAUUCAUGUUCUUUCCUCUAAUGUUUCUCUAAGUGUGGGACUGCUUGCAUCAGAAACACCUGGGCUCCAGAUUUCCAGGGCCCACCCAGCUCUCCCUCAUCAUGAUGUCUGAGAAUGGGCCUCUGACAUCUGGUAUUUUAAAAGCUGGGGCUGUCUCAUGCCCACAGAAGUUUGAGAACCAUUGCAUCACUCCAUGCAGGGACAGCAGGACUACUUUGGAAGGACAGAGACAAGUCAGCAUUUUAAAAUGACUCGGCUCUUCCUGCCACAGUGGACCAACAAGGCUCCCAAAGCAUUGGAACUCACGCCCUGAUCCACAGUUUUCUCCAUGUCUCUGCUGUCAUCCUCGGGACUGGGCGAGGACUCUGACCUCAGG
rnacentral:lncRNA from 1 species